rnacentral:ncRNA from 1 species
GGAGUAGGAGAUUUCGCGUUAAGUACCGUUCGGAUGGGAGGUUGCCGGCGGGCGAAGGGGCUGUGCCCCGCGAUGAAUUUUCCGCAACCGCCUG